rnacentral:lncRNA from 1 species
UCUUUCAACCGUCAAAGUAACGUCUCUAGUCUCUUUGUCUACUUCAGUUAACAGUCUUCUACUCUCUCUCUUUCUUUUAUCUUUUCUCUUUUUGUUUGAACCUCUUGCCUUGAGGAACAAAGUGUUGAAACAUAAAUUAAGAGAUGCAAUUUGUAAGAAUUCAUACACACAAAAGAUAUAGUCGGAACAUUGGAUUAUGUUUUUCAAUCUAAGUAACGGAACAUAGGUUCAUAUACUGAAUUUGUUAAUGAUUUUUAAAAAAAAUCUCAUACAGUAUAUAUCGUUUGUAUAAAAUUUAUUAGAUUUAAGUGAUAAUUUGAUUGAUUAAAGGGAAGCUAAUCAUCAAUAUCAUGCUGAAUACUUUUGAUCAUGAGAGUUGCUUUUUGAUUAUAUUAUAACUAACUUCUUGGGAUGAUUAACUUAAAACUAUAUUAAUUUCAUUUUUAAAAUGGUUUAGUUAGGUAUACUAUUAACUCAUGGUUUGAUUGGUAAUUUUUAACCGCCUCGUCUGUAACCGAAACGCUUUGAAAGUUAUCAAUAAAUAAAGCGAUUAAAAGAAGCGGUUGGAAUAAGUAGAUUGUUGUAGAGAGAUGUUGGGAGAGAAAAAAAAAUAAGACGGUUGGAUUUGUUUUUUAUUUAUUUAUAAAUUCACAUAUAUUAAUCAUAAUUUAAUUUCUUUUUAUUAUUUUUAUUUCAACGUUCCUAUUAUUUGACCGCUUGUUAUCAAUCAUAACCAUAAUUUUACAGCUCAUUUUAAUUUAUUCACCUUCUCUUCUGCUUGCUCUAACAAUUUUGUUCAACAACUGCUAAAAAAACUGUUAACUAUAUUUGUGAACGAUGUUAUCAAUGGAACCCUCAGUCGUUUGGGUUGAGGAAAUUAGAAAGUAACAUUAUUAAGUCAGGGAGAGGUUACAAAAAGAAGGGACAAUAAUAGGUAAUCAAUAGGGUUGUUGCAUUCUUAAUUUGACAAAUUAACUACCACUGAUUUUUAUAAUUACAACAAGAGUUGACCAAUUGUAAUAAUAACACUCAUGAUGUAAUGACAAAAUUAUAUAUUGCAUGAGUAGUUUGUACAUUAUAUUUCGUAAAAAUGACUAAUUCAAGGACCCCAUAUAAUGAUAUAUAUACUCUACUUCUUAAGUAAAGUUACCCAAGUUUUGUUCCAAAAAAAAACGUAUAGUUACCUAAGUAUGACUAUUAGAAGGGGGCUAUUUAAUUUAAGGAUUGUCAAGAAAUAUUAAAAACUUUUCAAACAAGUGUUUUUUUAUAAUGUUAAUUUAUCCUCUUUACCUUUUAAUUCAAAUGUUGUUUUAUAUAUAACUUAAAUUUUGUUUGCUAACAAGUAUAGCUUUAGGUUUUCAAUAUAGAUUUUUGAUAAAACUAUCGUUUUAAUGUAUGAAUAAUGAAAAAAAAAUAAAUAUAAUAAUAACUUAAUAAGGGGUAAAAUCCAAAGUUUGUUUUAGAAAGAAAAAAAAAUAUGUGAAAAUUUUAAAUGACACUUACUGUGGAACAGGUGGAGUAUUACUCUUUAAUUAACCACAUUUUAGGUUAUAUUUUCCUAGACAAAGAAUCCAUAGGGAUAAGGAGUGAAUCCUGAACAAAACCCAAUUGAGCCCAAUGAAUAAAAAAGACAUCCAAAGUAGGUUUGAAGGAAAGGAUAGUCCAUGCUCCCUCCAUGUAGAGUGAGUGAUGGUAAGUAAAUGUGUCUUAUGAAGCUAUCGACACCAAGUUGGAGAUAAACAAAAUUGAAAAGCCAAUGUACGUAUGAUGUUGAUUCAGGAUUAAAAAUUUAUAAUAUGGUUAUAAAGUAACAUAUAUCGUGGAUUUGAAAUCUGAAAAAGUCACGUACUGUAUGUUGAAUAUGUAAGGUGUGUUAAUUGUAAAUCAUUAUAUAAUAACAGGUUCAAAGAAAACGAGUAGCCACCUGCCGAUGCAAAUUUUUUUUUGCCAAUUACAGACAAAUCAAAGAUUUGGGAUUGGAGAGGAGAAGAUCUAUUGAAACCGACACAUUAGGUCCAAAACAUUUCAUUUUAAUUAUUAUGAUUUAACGAAAUAGUAAAAUACAUAUAUCAACCUUUUUGGUCCGGUCCCUGUUCUUACGUCUGUGAUCAUAAAGUAUAGAGUGAUUUUUUAUUUUUUUUCAUUAUACAAAUUACAAAUGACUAAUUUAAUUAAUUAGUGAACUUUUAAUUUGUCGAUAACCAAUAAGAAUGAUGGAAAACGGCAAAAGAGUCGACUGUUGAAGUUUGUCGGAAAGACACUCCACCAAAAUAUAAAUACAAAUCUUAUCACUAGUGGAAACUGUCGAGUGUGUGUAGUUCUCUUUUCCUUCUAAUAAAAGAAUAUUAUCUUUCUAAAUUCUUCCAAAUUCAUUUUGGAAUUUUCUUUCCUUUUUCUUUUUGUUGACAUGAAAUUUUGGAGUCUUCUUCUAUCGCCAAUUACGACUAAAAAAACGAUUUUAUAUAUAUCAACAUAGCUCUAACAAGAACAUGAUAAUCGCAAAUAUACAUAGAUUUGCCUAUUUGUACACAAGCAAAGUUAGUUUUAAUACUCAGUAUAUUACAUCUCAUGAAAAGAAUUUACAGUUUUUUCUAUUAAAGCUGUGGGAGUUUUCUUCUAAAAUGUUUUUUUUUGUCGUCCUUGUAAAAUGUUCUACAUUCGUCAUUUUCAGGCUAUCUUUGAUUUCGAAAGCUGUGGGCGUUUUCUUUUUUUAAUUUUUUUAAUUUUUUUUUUUUUUUGUCUUUUUCUACGAAAAUAAAAUAGCGUGCACUGUAUUGUUUCUUUCAACUUUAUUUUUUGACUAGUGAAAGACUAGACAUUUUGUUGCCCUGCCCCUAUAUUUUUUGUGUUUAUUUUAAGGUUGUUUUUUCUCUUUUUAUAAUGACCGUAAAAUGAGUUUUUACAAAAUCUGCUUCAAAUAUGUAAUGAAAACCUUGAUAAUAUGUAAAUGUACUAAAAACAAAAUCUUGAUAUGGGUACAUGUGAAAAUAGUAUAUUUCUGUUCUAAGAAUAUACUGUUUUAUGUUCUAAAAUAUCAACAAAUAGAUAUCUUUGCAUUUUUUUUUAUACAUCAAUAUUAGUAUUACCUACAUUGUCUAAGAGAUGUAACCCAACUUAUGUCGCAACUAGAACUACAUCUCAGAAAUCACCGAGCCGAGAGAAAAUUGUAAGAGUCCUCGACCAGCAAAACGUAGGAACAUCAACUCAAAGCAGUCGAGAAUAAGAACCACUGACUUGCAUCAAAACAGAAGAUCUAACCACACCACACAGAAUCCGAAAAGAAGACAUCCACCAUCGUUUAAACUUUCAACCCUUGACCCAACCACCGGUGAUAAAGACUUGUCCAUUAUAGUUUACUAAAGUUUAUGAUCAAACUUAAAAUAUCUGUUGUUAGAUUGAUACCUCUAAUUCCUUUGAAUUGCUUCUUAGAUUUCCACUUUACCCUUCCACGAUUUUUAAGCAAUGGAAAAUUAAGUUUCAUUUGUUUCAGAUUUUAAUAUUAAUCCCCUUCUAUGCAAAUUGAGGGACCACGUAGAAAGUUGUGAGAAUCUCAAUACACAAAAGAUAUAGAAACAAUGAUUACAUGCACAAGCACGAGGCCAUAAAUUUCCUUAUCCUAUACACAUUUUCAAUAAAGAUGUAACAUUCCAAACAGAAAACCCUCUUGUAGCUCACUCUACAAAAAAAAGAGUAUAGAAUUCCAAUAUUAAAGUUUAUAGGUCGACUAUUUCAAAACCAAUUGCUAUAAAGUAAAUUGAUUAAUAUUUUUAUACUCUCUUCGAUUUAUAAUAUAAGUUGUUUUGGACCAAUUUUUUUGUUUUACAAUUAAAUUGUUUUUAAGUUUUUAUGCAAACUAUAUAUUUAUUUUAAUAUUUUAUAAUUAUUUAUAUUAUGCAGUCUCUUUUGUGAUUGGUUGAACUUUUUAAAAGUAAAUAUUCUUAAUCUUCGUACUUUUAGGUAAAACAACUUAUAUUGUGAAACGGAGGGAGUAUAUCAUUUACAAUUUCUCUUUAUUUAGUUUUGUGGUGAUUCCGAAUAUUAAUUACAACUUGUACCAUUUAAUUCAACCAUAUUCGAAGAAAACAUUAAAGGCAAAACAAAUUAAGGGGAAAAAGAAAUCAAAAGUUAAAAAAAAAAAUUAAGACCAAUGAGAAUAGAUAAGGGGUAAAAGACAAAAAGAGAAUAUAAAAAAAACAAAUAGCAUUUGGCGCCAAAAGUAAAACUAAAAUGGUCAUGUCACGUGAUGUUAAUUUUUGCUCUACGACCAAAGCAAAACAAACCUAAAGUUUUCCAAAUCUCUGGGUCCCACUCUCAGAUGUGCUGACUUUUAUUUUUUUUACUUUUGUCUUAAAUCUUUGGAAAUUUUCAGUUUUAAUUUAAUUUAAUUCAUCUCUCUUUCUCACUCUAUAAAUCCCCACAGAUCCGUCACACUUCACCUAGAGACCCUCCCACAGCUUUCUCGAUAACUGACAAUCCAACGGUUGAGAUUCAGUUCUUCUAGAUAAAUUCACAUAUCCAAAGGACACGUGGCGGCGAGAGAUGAAAGAAAGUAGCCGGAAGCAAGGAGCUGCGUCACCGUGUGCUGCGUGUAAGCUUUUGCGGCGGCGGUGCGCUCAAGAUUGCGUUUUCUCGCCGUAUUUUCCGGCCGAUGAGCCUCAGAAAUUUGCUAAUGUUCAUAGAGUGUUCGGUGCUAGCAACGUCAACAAGAUGCUUCAGGUUUCUUUCUUCUUGUUCUUCUUAAGAAUAUCUAAAACGUGCUUACUCAUAUGUUGGGUUAGGUUUAAUUAGGAUGAUUUUCUUGUUUCUUAUUUUAGAUGAGACAUUACUAUCAUUUCCAUAACUUUUUAUUGACAACUACCACAUGGGCCGACCCGUUUAUAUUAUAAGUUUAGGGAUUUAAAAACAAAAUUGUUGAAUUUUAAGAAUUUAGGAAUAUGUUACAUUUAUUAGCUGAUGUUGAAUUUUAACCAUAUUAACUUUUGUUAGCUAAUGUUAAUGAUAUGAUUUACAUUUCUUAGCUAGCUGAUGUAGAGUCUACAUUUGAGAUGGAUUAUAUAAAUUUUAUAUAGUCUUGCGAGAUUAAUUGGUCUAGUGGCUGACAAAAUGUUUUAAAAACUCAACAGGAAUUACCAAUCCACCAGCGAGGGGACGCUGUGAGCAGCAUGGUUUACGAGGCUAAUGCAAGAGUGCGGGAUCCGGUUUACGGUUGCGUUGGGGCAAUUUCGUCCCUCCAGCAACAGAUAGAUGUGUUGCAAGCUCAGCUAGCUCUAGCUCAAGCUGAGGUGGUGCAUCUACGUGUACGCCAGUCGACUAAUUUCCCAGGGCACGGACUAUGCCCGGAUAGUCCGAGUAGCAGCGGGUCACCGUCUUCGAAGCAAGUGAGUCCACAGGACAACAAGGGCAUGUUUAGCCAUAUGGACAUUGUGGAUGAAGCCAGUUUGGGAGAGUCUAUGUGGUCUUGCUAGUCAAUAAUGCUCUCUUUCUGCUACUGCAAUUUCCUCUUCCUUUUUUGGGAAAUUUCGGGAUUAUUAUAUAUUAAAUUUAGGGGUAGGAUAUGAAAAUGCUCUGUUUUGACUACAGAGUGAAAUUAUUAACAUGAUAUAGAUACAUAAAAAUACUAAAUAUAUUUAUAUAUUAUAAAUCUCUCUCUAUAUAUUUAUUAGUAUUUGUAACUUUGUAAUUCCGGGGUAUUUGGGAUUUGGUGUAUGUGUAGGACCUUUGGAUCAUGAUCCGGUAGGGUUAUUUUGAUCAUUUCCAACCGAGGAGGGAUCUUUGUUAUUGACCUAAUGUAAAUUUGUGAGAUAUAUUAUUUAUCUAUAUCUAUAUACAAUUAUGAUCAUGUAACCCAUGGUGUGUGCUUGACUCUGUGAGCAUAUUAUCGUGUAAUGGUCAUCUUUGAUACUAGCUAAGUCUAGCUUAGCAAUUAGCACUAAGCACUUGUAUGGGCCUGAAUUUUUAUUAUGCAAACUUAUGGCCCAUUUGUCUUUAUUUUUUGGUUUCCUUGCAAACAUUUGCCAUUUGAUAGUCGCUGAUAGAAUCGCUCGCAUAUGAAGGAAACAGAAAGACCGGACCGGAGCAUGUGCUUGUGGUAAGAAAUUUACAGUGAGCUUAAGAAGAAACACAAGUAAUUUAGUCUAUUAUAGUUCAAGAGCUUCUCCUGCAUUCAUGCAAAUGCAAGAGUGGUAAAAUAGCAUUAUACUAAGUAAAUUUGGUUAUGCUCCUGUGCGUUAUAUCAGGAUAUUCCCUUCAAGCAAUUGAGCUUCACAUAGCAAUCACUAGACCGCAAAAUCACAAUCUGUCAAUCACCAUUUUAGCCAUAAUUCUUUCUACUUGCGCAAUCCAAAUUUUAUAAGGUUUUCGACAAUGCAUUGUUUUUCAAUAAGUACAAUGGAAAACAAAGAGAUUAGAGAGAGUAACACAAAAGCAGAAAACAAGUUCCCUUUUUAAACAUCCUUAGCAAUGAGAUCACCAUUGAGAAACUCUCUGUAGGCAGCAACGGGCCAAAUGAAACCACGGAAGAUGAUCCGACUAGCCAAAGGAACAUCGAUGAUGAUCUCUUUCAUCGCGGGUUUCUUCUCACCACUAAUAGCUAUUAAGUAGCUUCUUCCAACCCACCCGAUCCAUCCAGCAAUGUAGAGGAAAAGAAUCCCUGGAGUAAUGAACUCUCCCCAAUGCCGCUGGUCUCCGUUCACUAUCAAGUGCGGUAAACCGUCUGACCCGCAUAACAAUCCGUACUUCCCGUAGUUGUCGAACCUAACAUACAUUCAUAAGCACAUCAACUUCAAACCAAUCCACAGUUCCACAAGCUCCUCAAUAGAUCAUAUCAAUGAUCAAAUUUAACAUGUCUAGCAACUUCGAAAACUCACUAACUCACCAAAAAAAUCAUACUAAAGCAAUGGAUCUAGCAAGUAAUUCACUAAAACAGAGAAAAACUCUGUUUCAGAACAGAGGAAAGCUCUGUUUCAGAACAGAGAAAAAGCUCUGGUUUAACGAAGAAAUAGAAAUGGAAGACGAACCUGCGUUUGGUUUUCUCGAUCUGAGCAUUGAGAGCAAGAGCAGGGGCAGAUUCAGGAGCGUAGAGCUUAAGAGAAGAUUCAAGCUUCUUGAUCUGUUGCUUCUCUCUUUUAGCGAACUGUUUUGAGUCCUUGCAAGGAGUCAAACCUGAGAUAUCAGCGACAGCUGGCAUAGGAGCAGAGAGGAGGAUGGAAGAGAGGGCGACGGCGGCGGAGAAAGCUUUCAUGGAUUGAGGUGUGGAGGAGGAGGAUUUGUCAUCGGAGCAGACGAAUCUUGCGGAGGAUUUAGGUACGGAUUGAGUGAGAGAUUUGUUAGAUCUCGGGUUGAGAACGAGAUUCGCCGGGAUAGUGAGCGACAUGGCGCUUUGUCGGGUUCUUUGGAGAUUUCGAAUUCUAGGGUUCUGGA